UACGAAGGACCCAAGCGUUAUCCGGAUUUAUUGGGUUUAAAGGGUGCGUAGGCGGAUUAUUAAGUCAGUGGUGAAAGCCUGCAGCUUAACUGCAGAACUGCCAUUGAUACUGAUGAUCUUGAGUAUGAUUGAGGUGGGCGGAAUGUGUCAUGUAGCGGUGAAAUGCUUAGAUAUGACACAGAACACCGAUUGCGAAGGCAGCUCACUAAGCCAUAACUGACGCUGAUGCGCGAAAGCGUGGGGAGCAAACAGG
rnacentral:rRNA from 1 species